rnacentral:rRNA from 1 species
AUUGAACGCUGGCGGCAGGCCUAACACAUGCAAGUCGAGCGGAGCGGCGGACGGGUGAGUAAUGCCUAGGAAUCUGCCUGGUAGUGGGGGAUCACGUCCGGAAACGGGAGCUAAUACCGCAUACUAUCAGAUGAGCCUAGGUCGGAUUAGCUAGUUGGUGGGGUAAAGGCUUACCAAGGCGACGAUACGUAACUGGUCUGAGAGGAUGAUCAGUCACACUGGAACGGAGACACGGCCCAGACUCCUACGGGAGGCAGCAGUGGGGAAUAUUGGCCAAUGGACGAAAGCCUGAUCCAGCCAUGCCGCGUGUGUGAAGAAGGUCUUCGGAUUGUAAAGCUCUGUUAGUUGGGAGGCGUUACCAACAGAAUAAGCACCGGCUAACUUCGUGCCAGCCGCCGCGGUAAUUC